GAUGAACGCUGGCGGCGUGCCUAAUACAUGCAAGUCGAACGAAACUUCUUUAUCACCGAGUGCUUGCACUCACCGAUAAAGAGUUGAGUGGCGAACGGGUGAGUAACACGUGGGCAACCUGCCCAAAAGAGGGGGAUAACACUUGGAAACAGGUGCUAAUACCGCAUAACCAUAGUUACCGCAUGGUAACUAUGUAAAAGGUGGCUAUACUACCGCUUUUGGAUGGGCCCGCGGCGCAUUAGCUAGUUGGUAGGGUAAAGGCUUACCAAGGCAAUGAUGCGUAGCCGAAUUGAGAGGUUGAUCGGCCACAUUGGGACUGAGACCCGGCCCAAACUCCUACGGGAGGCAGCAGUAGGGAAUCUUCCACAAUGGGCGAAAGCCUGAUGGAGCAACGCCGCGUGGGUGAAGAAGGUCUUCGGAUCGUAAAACCCUGUUGUUAGAGAAGAAAGUGCGUGAGAGUAACUGUUCACGUUUCGACGGUAUCUAACCAGAAAGCCACGGCUAACUACGUG
rnacentral:rRNA from 1 species